AUAAAGAGAAAUUUUUUCCUUCAUUUCUUUUAGUACUUUUAUAAUGGUUUUUGUUUUACAUAUAUAAUCAAUCUUUAAUAUAUUUUAGUGCAUGCUUCAAUGUUGGGAUAUUGAUUGGAAUUGCACUGAUUGUAUUGAUGGAUUUGGGGAGAAUGGAAGUAUUUACAGUAUUGUAUCUUCCCAUCUAGGAGCUUGGUGUUUGUUUCCAUUUAUUCAGAUUUUCCUUUAUGUCCUUAAGUAAAACUUCAUAAUUUUCUUCUAGUUAAGUUUAUUUUUAGAUGUUUAUUAGUACUAAGGAAAUUGCUUAUAUAUUCUCCUGAGGUUUUUUGGGUAUUUUCUUGAUGUGGUCAUGAAAUUUAUUUUUUAUUUAAUAGUCACAUUUGCUGUAUUAGGUAAAUGUGUUUAUUUUUUUUAGUCCGGCUUCCCAUCUACACUUUUCAAUAAAGCAUCCACAUACACUGUCCUGGGAAUACUACAGUAUGUUUCAGUGUAAAGCCCACCUUGUGAUGAGAUUGAUUGAAAAUAGGAUCAGUAUGGAAUUUAUGCUACAAGUUUUCAAUAAACUGCUAAGUCUGGCUAGUACUGCUUCAUCUCAGAAGUUCCAGUCACAUAUGUGGAG
rnacentral:lncRNA from 10 species